rnacentral:rRNA from 1 species
GGUAUAGCUGGUCCAUCAGCCGUGGUAAUACGGAGGGUGCAAGGGUUAAGCGGAAUUACUGUGCGUAAAGCGCGCGGAGGUGGUUCAGUAAGAAGGGGGUGAAAUCCCCUGGCUUAACCUGGGAACUGCUUUCAUAACUGCUGAGCUAGAGUACGGUAGAGGGUAGUGGAAUUUCCUGUGUAGCGGUGAAAUGCGUAGAUAUAGGAAGGAACACCAGUGGCGAAGGCGACUACCUGGACUGAUACUGACACUGAGGUGCGAAAGCGUGGGGAGCAAACAGGAUUAGAUACCCUAGUAGUG